rnacentral:lncRNA from 1 species
AUCCAUGUUGCUGCAAAUGGCAUUAUUUUGUUCUUUUUUAUGACUAAGUAGUAUUCCAUUGUGUAUAUGUACCACAUCUUAAUCCAUUCAUCCAUCAAUGGGCAUUUAGGUUGUUUCCAUGUCUUGGCUAUUUAAUAGUGCUGCAAUGAAUAUAGGGGUGCAUGUAUAUUUUUGAAUGAAAGUUUUGUCUGGAUAUAUGCCCAGGAGUGGAAUUGCUGGGUCAUACAGUAGUUCUAUAUCUAGCUUCUGAGUUACCUCCACACUUUUACAUAGUGGUUGUAGAUUAUCUCCAUUUCUAAAGAAGAAACUGCGACUUCAAGUGGAGAGAAUUGUCAAAGUCCACCCAGGUUGUAAAGGGCAGAGCUGAGAUUCAGGCCCAGCACUCAAGCUCCCAUCCUCCCACCCUUCCCUCUCUCUCUCUCUCUCUCUCUCUCUCUCUCUGUCUCUCUUUUUUUUUUUUUCUUUUUUUUUUUAAGGGCUGCACCUGUGGCAUAUGGAGGUCCCCAGGCUGGGGGUUGAAUAAGAGCUAUAGCUGCCAGUCUACACCACAGCCACAGCAACAACAGCAGCGCCAAAUCUGAGCCACAUCUGCAACCUACACCACAGCUCAGGGAAACGCCAGAUCCUCAACCCACUGAGCAAGGCCAAGGAUUGAACUGCAUCUCCAUAGAUACUAGUAGGGUUCAUUAACCGCUGAGCCAUAACAGGAACUCCCUCACCCUUCCCUUUUAAGCCUUAUGCCCUAUUAUUUGGGUGUCUGGCUUGGGCAACAGAGAGAAUAGUGGUACCAUUUACAGAGGUGGAAAUCAUAGAAGGAUUCAUGAGUUUGGGUGGGAAGAAAGUUACAAGUUCAGUUUUCAGCAUGUUUAUGGGACACUCAAAUGGGAAGGAGCAGUGGGUAGAGCUCAGGAACUAGGUUCAGUAGUAAGUAGGAUCCACACAUAGGUUGAGGGUUACCAGCACAUGAACAACAAUUACACUUCACAGCUUUCCUUCUUGAGAAAGAUGCUGAGUUUGGGAGCAGACUCAACACUUUCGCAGUGGAGAGGGAGUGGGAAGGUGCCAAUGGUAAUGAGCCCAGUUGAGUCAGACCCUAGGACCUCCAGGAUGUCUUCUCUUAGCCUCAUCCAUCUCUGCCCCCGAAUCAUGCCCAAUAGCCUCUCAAAGGGCAUGCUGUCAGGCCCCAGGCACUCUGAAACCCCAUCUUCCCAGGCAGCCUUUUGGCACCUGCUUCAUGACAAUGCCACAGGAGCUGCUUUAAUGCUGAUUAACUCCUCCUUUAAAAAGUCACGUUUCCACACUGCCUGCCAAACGGUAACAGACAGAUAAUGUACUGUGUCAUUAGCACAUCCCUGUCUAUUUAAAAACCUCCAGAGAAGCAAAGCAGAUGAGCCUUGGAGUUAGCUCAGCAGUGGGAAUUAUUGCUUGGCUAAUUAUAAGCAGCAUUCUCAGAACUCCAAAAAGAUGUGAAGGGGAGGGGCACAACCCCUGUCUUCCCUGAGGAGCCAAGAGUAGCUGUUGAAACAUACCAACUCAACACUCAACACACAGGAAACUAAGAAAGACAUGACACCCAGGUACAACUCUGGUCCCAGACAUAGUUCUUCAUCCAUGACACAGUGUGUCACCAGUCCCCAGGGAUCCUCACAUAGUGUUUGACCCUGGUGUGGUCUUCUCCCCCCAUGAAUCAAGGCUGGCAUUGUCUGGCGAGUGGAAGGUAGAAGAAAUGUGAUUUUCAAGGCUCUAGGUUUUUCUAUAAUAAAUGACACUGCAGCUUCCACUUUGGUCUCUUGGAUUGCUCACUCAGACACCAUGUUGUGAAGACACUCAAGCAGCCCUGUGGAACCGAGACCACCCCCACACCCCGCCCCAGCCAGCAGCCAGUCAGCUCCAACUCUCCAGCCUUGUAAGUGAGACACUCUGAAGUUGAAUAUUCCAGUUUCAGUCAAGCCUUCAGAUGAUGCAGCCACAGCUGACAUCUGACUGGAACGUUAUUUAUAAAAGACCAUCAAACCAGAACCACCCAAUCAAGCUACUCCCAACUUCCUGACCAACAGCAACUGCUAGAGAUAAUAAAUGAUUAUUGUUGUUUCAGCCUCUGAGUUUUGUUACAUUAGCUAAUACAGUUGAUAAAAAGACUGAGCCCCCACUCUGCAUCAGGGACAUACAUGAUCUCAUUUAAUCCUCACUGAUAAGGGGCUACCAGCUCCACUUUAUAGAUGAGAAAAACCAAAGUUCCUAUUGUGGCUCAAUGGUAAUGAACCUGACUAGUAUCCAUAAGGAUGCAGGUUUGAUCUCUGGCCUUGCUCAGUGGGUCAAGGAUCCAGCUUUGCCAUGAGCUGUGGUAUAGGUUGCAAAUGUGGCUCAAAUCCUGCAUUGCUGUGGCUGUGGUGUAAGCCAGCAGUUGUAGCUCCAAUUUGACUUCUAGUCUGGGAACUUCCAUAUGGCAUGGGUAUGGUCCUAAAAAGACAAAAACAAAAAACAAGGCACCAAGUAUACAAGACUGCAAAGCCUGCGCAGUCCAACAGCUAAGAAAUGCAGAACAAGGGUUCAAAUUCUGACCUGCCUGCCUUCAAUGCUCCAGCCAUUUCUAUCACCAUAUUCUUAUUUCCCUGAAAAUAAGCUGCCCAAGACCCUGGUUUUAGCUCUGCCACUAAAUAGCUUAGUAAUUUGGAAAAAUUUUUUUCAUUCCUCUUAGGCUCCUUUUCUUUUCUAUAAAGUGGGAGGUUCAGUCUUUAGCCUCUGAGGUCUCCCUUAGCACUAAUAUUCUUUGCCCCUGUAGCCCUAUUUCGCUGUAUCUACCUUCCUCCUAGGACAGGUUGUUCUCAAAGAUUUUCCUCUUGCUGUUCCGCAUCACCUCAGGAGGAGUUGGCUUCAUUUGCAGCACAAGGGUCUUAGGUGAGCUGUUAAGAAAGCUUUGGGAGUGCUAGGAAACCCAAGUUACCCAGAAAACAUAAGAAACUUCCUUCCUCAGAAGAUUCUCAAAACAAUGUUAGUAACUACCUGUCUAUGAGCUCUUCGGCUAGCUGAACAAAUUAGAAAAAAUGAAGUUAAGUUUGAAAGAAACCAGGUGAUGAGCCCUUAGUCAUUUCUAUCUUGCACAUAGUAUUUCAAGGAGAAUUUGUGGAACCCAUAAAUGAAUAACUGACUUCUUCCCUUGUGUCAAGUGGGAAAGUAGGCUGUGUGACAUAGGCAAGUUAUGUAACCAUUCUGAGCCUCGAUUUACUUAUCUGUAGAUAGUAAUGAACUCAAAAGUAUUGUAAUAAUUUUGAGACAGAAUAGUGCCUGUCGAAACUUUGGCAGAGUCUCUGGAAGAUGGAAUAUAUUCAAUCAAAGAAGGAUUAUAUUGAUGCCACAGAGAUGAAGGACACUUCGUUAGUCUCCCUGACAGUUGGGAUGCAGUUUCCUUCUGUUCUAUGAACACUUGAAAAGCAUUGGCAUUGUGGAAGAAGAGUAAAUUUUGGCAGGAGAAGGCCAGAUGGUAGACUCAACAGUGCUUCCAUCACCUUCCAGCUGCUCAAUAUUUGCUUUGGCAGCACCUCUCCACUGGGGCUCUCCAGCAGCAACCCUCACUUUUGCCAUGUUCACCCCCAAAAUCCACCAGUGCAUUUAGGGGCCACCCACUCCUAGCCCAAGCUUAGGAAAUCUAUCCAUGUUACCAGCCUUGAUAGGAAUCUGACUCCUGAUUGGUAGCCACUUUGGGACCAUCCAUUCAUAAAAGGGACUUUCAGCUUCACCAACUGUAUAGUGUAGCAACCACUUCCAGACAUCUCCCAGGAGAACUCUUAAGAAGAUACCAUUCCCUCUUACCUACCUCCAGAUCAGGCCUCUGCACCCACCUACUCAGAAGACUUAUUCCUUUGCAGCUCAUCCAUGCAAAGAAUUUUCCAAGAUUUUAGAUCCAGUAUGGGUCUCUAAGAGGCAGAUCCAUAUGUAAUGCCAAUUCUAUUCUGACUCAGAGGAUGUCAAAUGCUUUCUUAUCACUCAGCCAGCACAAGAGAAAGGAAAGGAUCCUGACAUUAAUGCUAUCAAGAGUAUGUAGUCCAAAAAGAGAUCUGGCUUCAUCAGGGGCUGUUGAUGGGCUAACUGAGUUAAACCCUCUCAUUUCAUUAGGAGGAGGAGACCAUAAUUACAUCUUGAAGCCCAUAAGUAAGGAGUCAUAAUAGUUAAAUAAGUGAGGAGGGCUCCAGAACAUUCAAUAAUACAAUCAGGUUAGGCCCAAGGAGAAAAUCUAAUCAUGGGAUCAAAGAUGACCCUUGUUUUUCAUUCAUCCUCAUUGGGAUGGCUGGUGAUGAUUUGUUUUCCAUUCAUUUCAUUUGGCUCAAAAAAGUAUGCUAUUUCCUUCAAUCUCCCCAUCAAAAAAAAAAAAAAAAAAAAAAAAAUCAGGAACUUCGCCAAAGUUAAUAAAAACAAACCAAAAAACAAACAGCAACAACAGGCAGCCUCACUUUAAGCCAGAAAUCUCAUACCCAAUUUAGGGAUAGGGAAACCAACUCAAAGUUGAUUUGACCAGUUACUUCAAGUCACUUUCACAUCUGUAUUCAAUUCACUUUCGCAUCUGUAUUGUCCUUUACCAUUGACAGACUUGGCACCCUCACUGUCAUGUUUAAUUUAUCCUCACCACAGCACUUAUGCCCAAUUUCCAGGUGUAUAAAAUAAACUUGUAGGUGCUUGAUUCAACAUUUACUGAGCAGCUAAAGUGAGCAGACAAAGUGUCAGGUAUGGGGAGGCCUUCUGUUACACAGAUGACUUGUCCGUGGUCAUAGAUCCAUCACGUGGUGGGGCUGGGAUUUGAGCCUUGUUCUUCCACCUUGUGAUGUGGGCCUGACUGUGACCUUAAAGCUGGGCCUGCAGAAUCAGCCCCUCUGACUAGGAGAAAGAGGUAGAGUGUUUGUCCCCUAGCUAUGUACGUAUUUGUUAUCCUGUAACUAAGAUUCUCUAGUUUGAAAAGUUUCAUCUUAAACCAUUUAUGUGAAGUUAGUUUUAAAAUAAGAGAUCUGGGGAGUUCCUGUCAUGGCUCAGCGGUUAAUGAAUCCGACUAAGAACCAUGAGAAUGUGGGUUUGAUCCCUGGCCUUGCUCAGAGGGUUAAGGGUCUGGUGUUGCUAUGAGUUGUGGUGUAGGUUGCAGAUGCGACUCGGAUCCCACAUUGCUGUGGCUAUGGCGUAGGCCGACAACUUAGCUCUGAUUUGACCCCUAGCCUGGGAACUUCCAUAUG